rnacentral:rRNA from 1 species
AGAGUUUGAUCCUGGCUCAGAGCGAACGCUGGCGGCGUACUUAACACAUGCAAGUCGAACGGGGAUCAUCGUGUGAGCAAUCACAUGAUGGUUCUAGUGGCGCACGGGUGAGUAACACGUGGGUAACCUGCCCUGGAGCCCGGGAUACCCUCUCGAAAGGGAGGCUAAUACCGGAUACGUUCCCCCGAUCGCUAGGUUGGGGGAGGAAAGGUGGCGAAAGCUGCCGCUCUUGGAGGGGCUCGCGGCCUAUCAGCUAGUUGGUGAGGUGACGGCUCACCAAGGCGAUGACGGGUAGCUGGUCUGAGAGGACGACCAGCCACACGGGGACUGAGACACGGCCCCGACUCCUACGGGAGGCAGCAGUGGGGAAUUUUCCGCAAUGGGCGAAAGCCUGACGGAGUGACGCCGCGUGGGGGACGAAGGCCUUCGGGUCGUAAACCCCUGUCAGAGGGAAAGAAGGAUGUCGGCGCGAUAACCGCCGGCAUUUGACGGUACCUUCAGAGGAAGCCCCGGCCAACUCUGUGCCAGCAGCCGCGGUAAGACAGAGGGGGCAAGCGUUGCUCGGAAUCACUGGGCGUAAAGGGCGCGUAGGCGGGAGGGCAAGUCAGUCGUGAAAUCCUUCGGCUCAACCGAAGAACGUCGGCUGAUACUGCUCUUCUUGAGGGAUGCAGAGGAGACUGGAAUUCCCGGUGUAGCGGUGAAAUGUGUAGAGAUCGGGAGGAACACCGGUGGCGAAGGCGGGUCUCUGGGCAUCUCCUGACGCUGAGGCGCGAAAGUGUGGGGAGCAAACGGGAUUAGAUACCCCGGUAGUCCACGCUGUAAACGAUGACAACUAGGUGU